AACGAACGCUGGCGGCAGGCUUAACACAUGCAAGUCGAACGCCCCGCAAGGGGAGUGGCAGACGGGCGAGUAACGCGUGGGAAUCUACCCAGUUCUACGGAACAACAGUUGGAAACGACUGCUAAUACCGUAUACGCCCUACGGGGGAAAGAUUUAUCGGAAUUGGAUGAGCCCGCGUAAGAUUAGCUAGUUGGUGGGGUAAUGGCCUACCAAGGCGACGAUCUUUAGCUGGUCUGAGAGGAUGAUCAGCCACACUGGGACUGAGACACGGCCCAGACUCCUACGGGGGGCAGCAGUGGGGAAUAUUGGACAAUGGGCGCAAGCCUGAUCCAGCCAUGCCGCGUGAGUGAUGAAGGUCUUAGGAUUGUAAAAUUCUUUCACCGGGGACGAUAAUGACGGUACCCGGAGAAGAAGCCCCGGCUAACUUCGUGCCAGCCGCCGCAGUAACAC
rnacentral:rRNA from 1 species